UAGUUGUUCCACCUUCCUUGUUUCGAAAAGGCAUGGUUCAGCAAUCUCCAGGACCCACCCACCCACUGACGCAGACCUUCAGCCCGCCUGCCAGAGCCCGGGAGCCCAGUCACAUGUCUAUUACUCACACACUGUCCCACCUCUCUACUAUAAGAACAGGGGAACAGCAUGAAAGUCUGUGUUGCUAAUUUUAGAAACAGAGUCAUGCAUCAUGUCUGUCUCCUGGAUCGGGGGAAGUGGACAGUGGGCAGUUGUACCAGCCCUUGGGGAAGAGUGACGAGACGUCUUCGUGGGCAUUGCCCAGGGGCUGUCGUCCCUCUGGUGCCAGGGCAAACAUCCUAGUGAGUAAUGAAAGGAAC